GAUGGACAUCCGAUCAGGUU
rnacentral:rRNA from 1 species